GAAUGAGUUUGUUGUCUUUUGUUCACACCGAGGGGUAGAAUGGUCCCGUGGUUUGGUACAUUUUGAUGAACACUGUGAGAGAUGCUACUGUAGCGGAUUUGUCAAGCAGUGUUGCGAAGCUCGUGAGGUAGCGGGAGUUACAACGAUCCCCGGAUGUGUACAAGAGAUGCGAGGAUGUAAAAUGGAGUUCUACAGAUACAUGUAUGGCAUUAAAAUAAACUGUCGUACAGGCCAACCUUUUGAGGAUAUAAUUGGUUAUUGAAAAAACUCUUCUGUGGUAUAUUUUCAUCUUUUUUAAUUGUUUAUACAUUUUGUUAUAGAAUAAAGUUGAUAUUUGACUACUUAA